AUGAACGCUAGCUACAGGCUUAACACAUGCAAGUCGAGGGGCAGCAUGAACUUAGCUUGCUAAGUUUGAUGGCGACCGGCGCACGGGUGAGUAACACGUAUCCAACCUGCCGAUGACUCGGGGAUAGCCUUUCGAAAGAAAGAUUAAUACCCGAUGGCAUAGUUCUUCCGCAUGGUAGAACUAUUAAAGAAUUUCGGUCAUCGAUGGGGAUGCGUUCCAUUAGGUUGUUGGCGGGGUAACGGCCCACCAAGCCUUCGAUGGAUAGGGGUUCUGAGAGGAAGGUCCCCCACAUUGGAACUGAGACACGGUCCAAACUCCUACGGGAGGCAGCAGUGAGGAAUAUUGGUCAAUGGACGAGAGUCUGAACCAGCCAAGUAGCGUGAAGGAUGACUGCCCUAUGGGUUGUAAACUUCUUUUAUACGGGAAUAAAGUGAGGCACGUGUGCCUUUUUGUAUGUACCGUAUGAAUAAGGAUCGGCUAACUCCGUGCCAGCAGCCGCGGUAAUACGGAGGAUCCGAGCGUUAUCCGGAUUUAUUGGGUUUAAAGGGAGCGUAGGCGGACGCUUAAGUCAGUUGUGAAAGUUUGCGGCUCAACCGUAAAAUUGCAGUUGAUACUGGGUGUCUUGAGUACAGUAGAGGCAGGCGGAAUUCGUGGUGUAGCGGUGAAAUGCUUAGAUAUCACGAAGAACUCCGAUUGCGAAGGCAGCUUGCUGGACUGUAACUGACGCUGAUGCUCGAAAGUGUGGGUAUCAAACAGGAUUAGAUACCCUGGUAGUCCACACAGUAAACGAUGAAUACUCGCUGUUUGCGAUAUACAGUAAGCGGCCAAGCGAAAGCGUUAAGUAUUCCACCUGGGGAGUACGCCGGCAACGGUGAAACUCAAAGGAAUUGACGGGGGCCCGCACAAGCAGUGGAGUAUGUGGUUUAAUUCGAAGCAACGCGAAGAACCUUACCAGGUCUUGACAUCCGAUGCAUAGUGCAGAGAUGCAUGAAGUCCUUCGGGACAUCGAGACAGGUGGUGCAUGGUUGUCGUCAGCUCGUGCCGUGAGGUGUCGGCUUAAGUGCCAUAACGAGCGCAACCCUUAUCGAUAGUUACCAUCAGGUUAUGCUGGGGACUCUGUCGAGACUGCCGUCGUAAGAUGUGAGGAAGGUGGGGAUGACGUCAAAUCAGCACGGCCCUUACGUCCGGGGCUACACACGUGUUACAAUGGGGGGUACAGAAGGCAGCUACACGGCGACGUGAUGCUAAUCCCGAAAGCCUCUCUCAGUUCGGAUUGGAGUCUGCAACCCGACUCCAUGAAGCUGGAUUCGCUAGUAAUCGCGCAUCAGCCACGGCGCGGUGAAUACGUUCCCGGGCCUUGUACACACCGCCCGUCAAGCCAUGAAAGCCGGGGGUACCUGAAGUGCGUAACCGCAAGGAGCGCCCUAGGGUAAAACUGGUGAUUGGGGCU
rnacentral:rRNA from 1 species